GCUAGCGUAGCUUAAAUAAAGCAUGGCACUGAAAAUGCUAAGAUGAACCUUUAAAAGUUCCACUGGCG
rnacentral:tRNA from 1 species